GAUUAAACAAUGAAUUGAAAAGUAAGUUUAGCUGUCACCCAACAAACUAUUGACAUAAAAAAUAAGAAGCCACCCCACCACCAGCAAACCACCGACCGUCACAGAAUUUGGCUUAAGUUCAAUUUCAUCCACCACCACACAGAGAAGAGAUCUGAGACUGUGAGGUAGAAGUGUCGAUGUGGCCAAAGCCUAAGCCUUUUUCUUCACUCUCGUUUGCCUUGACCGACUCCAUUUCUUUUCUCUGCCUGCUUCUCCA
rnacentral:lncRNA from 1 species